rnacentral:rRNA from 1 species
GAACGGCAGCAUGAUCUACCGGACCAAACCGAGGGCCGAGUGGCGAACGGGUGAGUAAUACAUCGGAACGUGCCCAAUAGUGGGGGAUAACGAAUCGAAAGAUGAGCUAAUACCGCAUAAGACCUAAGGAUGAAAGCAGGGGACCGCAAGACCUCAUGCGAGAAUGGAGCGGCCGAUGGCAGAUUAGCUAGUUGGUGAGGUAAAGGCCCACCAAGCCGACGAUCAGUAGCUGGUCUGAGAGGACGACCAGCCACACUGGGACUGAGACACGGCCCAGACUCCUACGGGAGGCAGCAGUGGGGAAUUUUGGACAAUGGGCGAAACCCUGAUCCAGCAAUGCCGCGUGCAGGAAGAAGGCCUUCGGGUUGUAAACCACUUUUGUACGGAAAGAAAACGCACUUACUAAUAAAAAGGUGAGGAUGACGGUACCCGUAAGAAUA